rnacentral:misc_RNA from 1 species
AAGGACCAAACCGUCUCUCUUGCAGAAAACUUGGAGAAAAUGAGGGAUUAAAACUACGACUACUAGUGCUAAUGUUCAGUGAAGGCGAUGAGCUAUACAUACAGGCAUGUUGCUGUUGCUGGUACUGAGGUUGUGGAACAACAAAAGAAGUUGCAGCACCGAAACCACCUGAAUCUGGCAGAAGUCCGAUACUUCCCCUGGGGGUUAUGGGACUUGGAUGCGUGUGUUGUCCUUCAUAAGUUGUAACAACUAUGGUGGGAUCCUCAGAUGAUCUCUCUACUCUCUUCUUCACCCCACAUCCUGCACUAGUGCAACGAUAAUAGAUAAGGGCUGUUUUUCACUGCUUUCUGGCCGUACUUCCUCCAUCUAUAUCCAUCAUCUAGGUGAUCAACUUCGCUUUUUGUCAUGAAAGCAAAUCUUGGCUCUCUUUGCCUUUUC